rnacentral:rRNA from 1 species
UACGUAGGGUCCGAGCGUUGUCCGGAUUUAUUGGGCGUAAAGAGCUCGUAGGCGGCUUGUCGCGUCGACUGUGAAAACCCGUGGCUCAACCAUGUGGUCUGCAGUCGAUACGGGCAGGCUAGAAUUCGGUAGGGGAGACUGGAAUUCCUGGUGUAGCGGUGAAAUGCGCAGAUAUCAGGAGGAACACCGGUGGCGAAGGCGGGUCUCUGGGCCGAUAUUGACGCUGAGGAGCGAAAGCGUGGGGAGCGAACAGG